rnacentral:rRNA from 1 species
GACGAACGCUGGCGGCGUGCCUAAUACAUGCAAGUAGAACGCAGUUGCGAACGGGUGAGUAACGCGUAGGUCACUGCCUGGUAGCGGGGGAUAACUAUUGGAAACGAUAGCUAAUACCGCAUACUACCAGAUGGACCUGCGUUGUAUUAGCUAGUAGGUAAGGUAAUGGCUUACCUAGGCGACGAUCCCUAGCUGGUCUGAGAGGAUUAUGAGCGACACUGGGACUGAGACACGGGCCAGACUCCUACGGGAGGCAGCAGUGGGGAAUAUUGCACAAUGGGCGCAAGCCUGAUGCAGCCAUGCCGCGUGGAUGAAGAAGGCCCUAGGGGUGUAAAGUACUUGCAGGUGGGAGGCGUUACCGACAGAAGAAGCACCGGCUAACUCCGUGCCAGCAGCCGCGGUAAUAC